GAUGAACGCUGGCGGCGUGCCUAAUACAUGCAAGUCGAGCGAACGGACGAGAAGCUUGCUUUUCUGAUGUUAGCGGCGGACGGGUGAGUAACACGUGGAUAACCUACCUAUAAGACUGGGAUAACUUCGGGAAACCGGAGCUAAUACCGGAUAAUAUUUUGAACCGCAUGGUUCAAAAGUGAAAGACGGUCUUGCUGUCACUUAUAGAUGGAUCCGCGCUGCAUUAGCUAGUUGGUAAGGUAACGGCUUACCAGGGCAACGAUGCAUAGCCGACCUGAGAGGGUGAUCGGCCACACUGGAACUGAGACACGGUCCAGACUCCUACGGGAGGCAGCAGUAGGGAAUCUUCCGCAAUGGGCGAAAGCCUGACGGAGCAACGCCGCGUGAGUGAUGAAGGUCUUCGGAUCGUAAAACUCUGUUAUUAGGGAAGAACAUAUGUGUAAGUAACUGUGCACCUCUUGACGGUACCUAAUCAGAAAGCCACGGCUAACUACGUG
rnacentral:rRNA from 1 species